rnacentral:rRNA from 1 species
AACGAACGCUGGCGGCAGGCUUAACACAUGCAAGUCGAGCGCCCCGCAAGGGGAGCGGCAGGCGGGUGAGUAACGCGUGGGAAUCUACCCAUCUCUACGGAAUAACGCAUGGAAACGUGUGCUAAUACCGUAUACGUCCUUCGGGAGAAAGAUUUAUCGGAGAUGGAUGAGCCCGCGUUGGAUUAGCUAGUUGGUGGGGUAAAGGCCUACCAAGUCGACGAUCCAUAGCUGGUCUGAGAGGAUGAUCAGCCACACUGGGACUGAGACACGGCCCAGACUCCUACGGGAGGCAGCAGUGGGGAAUAUUGGACAAUGGGCGCAAGCCUGAUCCGGCCAUGCCGCGUGAGUGGUGAAGGCCCUAGGGUUGUAAAGCUCUUUCACCGGUGAAGAUAAUGACGGUAACCGGAGAAGAAGCCCUGGCUAACUUCGUGCCAGCCGCCGCCGUAACAC